rnacentral:rRNA from 1 species
UACGUAGGGGGCAAGCGUUGUCCGGAAUCAUUGGGCGUAAAGCGCGCGUAGGCGGUCCGGUAAGUCGGCUGUGAAAGUCAAGGGCUCAACCCUUGAAUGCCGGUUGAUACUGUCGGGCUAGAGUCCGGAAGAGGCGAGUGGAAUUCCCGGUGUAGCGGUGAAAUGCGCAGAUAUCGGGAGGAACACCAAUGGCGAAGGCAGCUCGCUGGGACGGUACUGACGCUGAGACGCGAAAGCGUGGGGAGCAGACAGG